GACGAACGCUGGCGGCGUGCUUAACACAUGCAAGUCGAACGGAAAGGCCCUUCUUUUGUGGGUUGCUCGAGUGGCGAACGGGUGAGUAACAUGUGAGUAACCUGCCCUUGACUUUGCUAUAACUUCACGACACUGGAGCUUAUACCGUAUAGGAGCUCCUGCUGCAUUGUGGGGGUUGGAAAGUUUCGGCGGUUGGGUAUGGACUCGCGGCGUUUCAGGUUGUUGGUGGGGUAGUGGCUUACCAAGGCUUUGACGGGUAGCCGGCCUGAGAGGGUUACCGGCAACAUUGGGACUGAGAUAGGGCCCAGACUCCUACGGGAGGGAGCAGUGGGGAAUAUUGCAAAAUGGGGGGAAGCCUGAUGCGGCAAAGCCGCGUGCGGGAUGAAGGCCUUCGGGUUGUAAACCGCUUUCGCCUGUGACGAAGCGUGAGUGACGGUAAUGGGUAAAGAAGCACCGGCUAACUACGUG
rnacentral:rRNA from 1 species